rnacentral:rRNA from 1 species
GGGGAGUACGUUUGCAAGAAUGAAACUCAACGGAAUUGAUGGGGGCCCGCACAAGUGGUGGAUCAUGUGGUUUAAUUCGAUACAAAGCGAAGAACUUUAUCAGGGCUUGACAUCCCACGAAUCCUCUUGAAAGAGAGGGGUGCCUUCAGAAACGCGGACAUAGGUGGUGCAUGGCUGUCGUCAGCUCGUGCCUUAAGGUGUUGGAUUAAGUCCUGCAACGAGCUCAACCCUCGUGUUUAGUUGCAAUCGUUGAGUUUGGAACCCUGAACAAACUGUCGGUGAUAAGCCGGAUGAAGGUGAGGAUGACUUCAAGUCAUCAUGCCCCUUAUGCCCUGGGCGACACAUGUGCUAUAAUGGCCGGGAAAAAGGGUCGCGAUCCAGCAAGGGUGAGAUAACCCCAAAAACCCAUCCUUAGUUCGGAUUGCAGGCUGCAACUCGCCUGUAUGAAGCUGGAAUCGCUAGUAAUCGCCGGUCAGCCAUACGACGGUGAAUUCGUUCCCGGGCCUUGUACACACCGCCCAUCACACUAUGAAAGUUUUCCAUGCCCGAAGUCAUUACCUUAACCGCGAGGAGGGGGAUAUCGAAGGCAGGGCUAGUGACUGGAGUUAAGUCGUAACAAGGUAGUCGUACUGGAAGAUGCGGCUC